rnacentral:rRNA from 1 species
GUGGGGAAUAUUCCGCAAUGGACGAAAGUCUGACGGAGCAACGCCGCGUGAGUGAUGAAGGUUUUCGGACUGUAAAGCUCUGUUGUUUAGGACGAAAGUGCCUGUUGCGAAUAGUUACAGGUAUUGACGGUACUGAACGAGGAAGCCACGGCUAACUACGUGCCAGCAGCCGCGGUAAUACGUAGGUGGCAAGCGUUGUCCGGAAUUAUUGGGCGUAAAGAGCAUGUAGGCGGGAAUCUAAGUCUGUUGUGAAAAUGCGGGGCUCAACCCCGUAUUGCGAUGGAAACUGGGUUUCUUGAGUGCAGGGGAGGAAAGGGGAAUUCCCAGUGUAGCGGUGAAAUGCGUAGAUAUUGGGAGGAACACCAGUGGCGAAGGCGCCUUUCUGGACUGUGUCUGACGCUGAGAUGCGAAAGCCAGGGUAGCGAACGGGAUUAGAUACCCGUGUAGUCC